GAUUGGAACAACACGGCCAUGCAAAAUGGAUAGUUAUGUGUUGUGUCAUAGUUGUUCUGAUUUGCAGCAAAAUUCCUUGAUUCCACUACGUGCUUAUCCAACAACUGGGCAUAUUAUAGCUUCUUGUCCAGCUGAUCCCUAGGACUCAGCAUAGAUAGGACCCAUAGACAUCCACUCUUUUACAGUCUAGGGUGAAAUCCUAAGCCACUUGGACCCCAUGCUAGGGUUCCAGACCAUAGUUAUCUAAUUUGCUGCCUCCCCUCUGAACCACGAACAGGGAUGUGCUUUCCUGAAUGCAGUACGUUGGGGUUCCAAAAUGCUUGGUACGCAUCCUAGUUCGCUGAAAUAAUGGUUUCAUAAUUGAGUUUUUUAACAGGUUACGGACU
rnacentral:misc_RNA from 1 species